UGCGGCAUGAUCAUUAUCGAGUUUUGAACGGGUUGUAGCUGACCUCUUUUUGGGGUAUGUGCACGCCUGGCUCAUCCACUCUCAACCUCUGUGCACUUCAUGUAAGAGAACGGUGUAAGCUGAUUUUGUAAAGAAGUCAGUGACAAGCCUUCUCUUGCGUUUUACCACAAACACUUCAGUUAUAGAAUGUUUUACUGUGUAUAACACAAUUAUAUACAACUUUCAGCAACGGAUCUCUUGGCUCUCGCAUCGAUGAAGAACGCAGCGAAAUGCGAUAAGUAAUGUGAAUUGCAGAAUUCAGUGAAUCAUCGAAUCUUUGAACGCACCUUGCACUCCUUGGUAUUCCGAGGAGUAUGCCUGUUUGAGUCUCAUGGUAUUCUCAACCCCUAAAUUUUUCUAGUGAAGAUUUGGUGGGCUUGGACUUGGAGGUUGUGUUGGCUCUCGCUAGUCGACUCCUCUGAAAUACAUUAGUGUGAACCUUACGGAUCGCCUUCAGUGUGAUAAUUAUCUGCGCUGUGGUGGUGAAGUAUUUAUUGUAUUCACGCUUCUAACCGUCUCUCCUUCGAGACAAAUACUUUGACAAUCUGAGCUCAAAUCAGGUAGGAUUACCCGCUGAACUUAAGACAU
rnacentral:rRNA from 1 species